rnacentral:rRNA from 1 species
UGGGGAAUAUUGCACAAUGGGCGCAAGCCUGAUGCAGCCAUGCCGCGUGUGUGAAGAAGGCCUUGGGUUGUAAAGCACUUUCAGCGGGGAGGAAGGCGCUAAGGUUAAUAACCUUAGCGAUUGACGUUACCCGCAGAAGAAGCACCGGCUAACUCCGUGCCAG